rnacentral:rRNA from 1 species
GGCGGGCCCCCCCGGACACGNNANCUGACCACUCACAUACGAAAAGNGNGGGGAGCAAACACGGANUUAGAUAACCCUGGUAGUUCCACGCCGUNAACGAUGUCUACUUGGAGGGUUGUGGCCCUUGAGCCGUGGCUUUCGGAGCUAACGCGUUAAGUAGGACCGCCUGGGGAGUACGGUCGCAAGAUUANAACUCAAAUGAAUUGACGGGGGCCCGCACAAGCGGUGGAGCAUGUGGUUUAAUUCGAUGCAACGCGAAGAACCUUACCUACUCUUGACAUCUACAGAAGCCAGCGGAGACGCAGGUGUGCCUUCGGGAACUGUAAGACAGGUGCUGCAUGGCUGUCGUCAGCUCGUGUUGUGAAAUGUUGGGUUAAGUCCCGCAACGAGCGCAACCCUUAUCCUUGUUUGCCAGCACUUCGGGUGGGAACUCCAGGGAGACUGCCGGUGAUAAACCGGAGGAAGGUGGGGACGACGUCAAGUCAUCAUGGCCCUUACGAGUAGGGCUACACACGUGCUACAAUGGCGCAUACAGAGGGCGGCCAACUUGCGAAAGUGAGCGAAUCCCAAAAAGUGCGUCGUAGUCCGGAUUGGAGUCUGCAACUCGACUCCAUGAAGUCGGAAUCGCUAGUAAUCGUGGAUCAGAAUGCCACGGUGAAUACGUUCCCGGGCCUUGUACACACCGCCCGUCACACCAUGGGAGUGGGCUGCAAAAGAAGUGGGUAGUUUAACCUUCGGGAGGACGCUCACCACUUUGUGGUUCAUGACUGGGGUGAAGUCGUAACAAGGUAACCG